GACGAACGCUGGCGGCGUGCCUAACACAUGCAAGUCGAACGGAGUUACCCUUCGGGGUGGCUUAGUGGCGAACGGGUGAGUAACGCGUGAAGAACCUGCCUUUCAGUGGGGGACAACAGUUGGAACGACUGCUAAUACCGCAUAAUGUCAUUUGGGGGCAUCCCCGAAUGACCAAAGAUUUAUUGCUGAAAGAUGGCUUCGCGUCUGAUUAGCUAGUUGGUGAGGUAACGGCUCACCAAGGCGACGAUCAGUAGCCGGUCUGAGAGGAUGAACGGCCACAUUGGGACUGAGAUACGGCCCAGACUCCUACGGGAGGCAGCAGUGGGGGAAUAUUGGGCAAUGGGGGGAAACCCGUGACCCCAGCAACGCCGCGUGAAGGAAGAAGGCCUCGGUUGGUAACGUUACUUUACCUAGGACGGAAGAACGUAGACGGUACC
rnacentral:rRNA from 1 species